AGUGGGGGCUGCUAAAGAGCUGACAGAUUCUGAAUCUACCUUGCAGUGUGACCUUGGCCAAGGGCCAGGCGAGUUCAGGCACGUUCCUGGUAGAAGGUGCUCUGAUGCUGCGGAAGACAGUUUCUUCAUGGAUUCCAACUGCUUGAUUUGUGGGAAUGACUCCACCAUGCCUGUUCUCCCCACCUUUGCAGCCAAGAUUGAAGGGCAGGGGCGAAAUGCUGCAAACUGCACCAGGAAAGGGGAGGAUUAGAGGAGACUGAACAGCUUCCCUAAACCCUUGCUGCUCUAUGCAGAGAUGAUGUCACCAGGAGCUCUACAAGACAAAGAGAUGCUUUAGGUAUGCAAUUUGCUAAUGUCUUGAUACAGCUGCUUAUUUAAAAUCAUCCUUGGGGCCAGGUAUG
rnacentral:lncRNA from 1 species